AUGUUGCGUCCGGCGUCGAUCUCCCCCGCUGUGCUCGUUGAGUAUGUGGUGCCGCCGUCCUUGAAGGCAGACGUCCUGGCCAUGGUGAUGGGGGCUGCGUGGGCCGUUGCCACUGAUGGCAGGCACGGUGUCCGGGAAACGGCGGCUGCUCGCGCUACGGUGACGGCCGGCCCGGAGACGGCCUCCGCGCGGAAGACGGAGGCUGAGCGGUUUCUGUGUGCUGGAGUUUGCUCCGGCGGCGUGGAGAGGAGCUGCAGCCGGCGCAUCGCAAAGGGAUGGAGGCCCCCUUCUCCCAUCCCAGUCACCGAUUAUAUGUGGGCGCAGGUGAUCGUCAGAGGGAGGAGGAUGAGCGGCAGCAUGCGGCGGAUCCUGAACCUGGGGUUGUUCGAAGGGGUCAAACGCGCGUAUUCGCUGCGGCGCCUGAACCUGGAGCUCUCCAAGGUGAAGUUUUUCCACCCGACGGCACAAGAGGCGGCCGCUCAUGGCAAGGUGCUGCCAACACUGACGCCAGCCCAGGCCGAGGCCACCAGCAGGACAAGGAUCUGCAACACCGAUCUGGCGACGGCGGAGGCGGCGGCGCCCAAGAUCGAUCCGCCAAAAACCGAGCUGGUCAUAAAGCCACCGGAAGUCUCCUACUCCAUCCGGUCUCCUCGCUGCGUUCAUUUCUUGCCAACCGCCUCGGAGAGCAAGGUCGUCAUGGUCGACCGCGGGAACCGCAUGAUACGCUUCAACAUCGUCAAUAGCCCCCACUACAACGAUACCCAGGACGGCCAAGUCCCCAGGCACUCCCGCUACAUCGAUUCCAUGCCAAGCCUCCACGGGUACAAGGAGGCGCCGCUGACCAUCUCCGUCCCUCCCACGAACUUACACCUCCUUGACGGCGAAGACGCAGGCGACCUCUACAUCAUCGAUAGCGUCCUCCAUCCCAACAAGGCGGACGUACGCCCGCAGUUCGAGGCCCUGGUGUGGAGGGGGAUCACCACGUCCCUCGCGUCUCACAGGUUCUGGCACUGCGACAUCCUCCCGCUGCCCCCGUGGAUCACGCACCACAGGAAUGCCUUCGUCUAUGGUCACGCCCUCGUCGGCGACACCAUCUGCUUCUCCAUCUCUGGCCCAGAGGGCGAUGGCACCUACUGCUUCCACAUGGCGACUCGCCAGUGGAGCAAAGCUGGCGACUGGCUCAUGCCCUUCCAUGGCAAGGCAGAUUACGUCCCUGAGCUUGGACUCUGGUUCGGCGUCGCAGACGGCCUCCCCUGCGCUGCUGACCUCUCUGGCGUCGUCGGAGGGGAGGAGCCGCCGCCAGAGAAGAUGCGGAUCUGGGUGCACGAUGACCUGCCAGAGGAGUGGCAGCCAAACCAAUUUUUCAAGCCCAGGGUCAUCAGCCUUGGUUCUGGCAAGUUCAUGGUCGUGGACUUCUUGGAUGACAUGCAAUUCGACAAGGAAUCCAACGAGAUGUGUCUUGAAAAGCAAUUCGCCCUCUUCACUGGUAUGGAAGUAGCCUACAGCAACGGCAACGGCAAAGGCAAGAAUAGCAGAAAUGGUGCCAUCAAAGACAAUGACCACAGUAGUGGCAGCGAGAAUGGCGGCAAAGGCAAAGGCAAAGGGCUGAUCCGUGGCCUCCGUAUGAUCAAGCACAAAUCCGGUCGUUACAUGUUCAACAACCAUCAGAGGAUCGAGGAGGUGCUCUGA
rnacentral:rRNA from 1 species